rnacentral:rRNA from 1 species
CCUACGGGAGGCAGCAGUGAGGAAUAUUGGUCAAUGGCCGUAAGGCUGAACCAGCCAAGUAGCGUGAGGGAAGACUGCCCUAUGGGUUGUAAACCUCUUUUAUGCGGGGAUAAAGGUGUCCACGUGUGGAUGUUUGCAGGUACCGCAUGAAUAAGGACCGGCUAAUUCCGUGCCAGCAGCCGCGGUAAUACGGAAGGUCCGGGCGUUAUCCGGAUUUAUUGGGUUUAAAGGGAGCGUAGGCCGGUUGUUAAGCGUGCCGUGAAAUUUUGUGGCUCAACCAUGGGAGUGCGGCGCGAACUGGAGACCUUGAGUGCGCGGAAGGCAGGCGGAAUUCGUGGUGUAGCGGUGAAAUGCUUAGAUAUCACGAAGAACCCCGAUUGCGAAGGCAGCAUGCCGCAGCGUUACUGACGCUGAAGCUCGAAGGCGCGGGUAUCGAACAGGAUUAGAUACCCGUGUAGUC